rnacentral:rRNA from 1 species
UACGGAGGGUGCAAGCGUUAUCCGGAUUCACUGGGUUUAAAGGGUGCGUAGGCGGGCCGGUAAGUCAGUGGUGAAAUCCCCGAGCUUAACUUGGGAACUGCCGUUGAUACUAUCUGUCUUGAAUACUAUGGAGGUAAGCGGAAUAUGUCAUGUAGCGGUGAAAUGCUUAGAUAUGACAUAGAACACCAAGGGCGAAGGCAGCUUGCGACACAGUGAUUGACGCUGAGGCACGAAAGCGUGGGGAUCAAACAGG